UUCAAAUAAAAGUUAGAAGGCUCAUCAUCCCUUUAAAUAUAUUUGCACUUGGACAAGGCUUGAUCAAUCCCCAAAACCAUUGCAUCAAUCUUUGAGACUAGAGAGGGCUUCAGACCACUUGUUGCAGACAAGCCACAAAAGGCAAUUGCAGAUAGUAGUGAAGUAUGAAGAACCAACUUCCAGGACAGGUUGUCAGAAUUCCAAUCAACUGCCAAUGCAAUGAUCCCUCUCCUUCAAAUGGCGCUCUGAUGUUAACUCAAAAUAAAAUCGAUUCAAUGAAUCAUAGGAUGAAAAAACAUCCGAAAAAGACAGCAAAUUUUGUGCAUGGAGUCCGAGAGCAUUUGAGAAUAGGGUCUAAGAUCUCUGAAACCGUGAAGGGCAAGUUGAGAUUGGGGCUAGGAUUCUUCAACUUGGAGGGGUGAAGAAAGUUUUCAGACAAAUUUUUGGUUUUGGAAAAGGAGAGAAGCUGUUGAAGGCUUCUCAAUGUUAUUUAUCAACAACAGCAGGCCCUAUAGCAGGCCCUAUAGCAGGCCUCCUCUUUAUCUCAACUCAAAGGCUUGCAUUUUUCAGUGAAAGAUCAAUCAGAUUUUCUUCCCCAAAUGGUGAAUUGGUUAGAUUUCAUUACAAGGUCUCGAUCCCACUAAGAAAGAUAAAGAGAGCCAACCAAAGUGAGAAUGUGAAAAAUCCUUCUUAGAAGUACAUUGAAAUUGUUACCACGGAUAACUUUGACUUCUGGUUUAUGGGAUUCUUGAAUUACCAGAAAGCUUUCAGCUAUCUUCGAGAGGCUAUCUCUCAAGUGCAGAAUCCACUCCAGAACUGAUUCAAGUCAUAAGUUUCCUCCCUCCCGCUUCAACAAAUGGAUUUACAUGAACCUUGUUGGUUUUGAUAGAAACAAAGUGUAGAAUAUUUCAGGAAGCAACAGAACGUUGAGGAAUCUAAAGUGAUAUAUAAUUUAUUAAGCUUCAAAGUACUUAUUUAUACAGUAGCUUAAAACAGAAAAACAUAAAAAAUAGUAACAAACCUGCUACCUAUAAAUACUUCCUAAAGAAUAGAAACAAACCAACAAAUACUUCCUAAGGAAUAGGUAAAUCUUCCACAUGACUAACUUAUUUGACUACUUCCACUUCAAUCUACUCAGCUCCAUGUUAGCAGCUCCUAGGACAUGUCAUUCAACACUCCUCCUUGUCUCUGGAGCUGCAGACUCCAAGCCUAUGCCUCAAGAACUCAUAUCUGGCUUUGGGAAGUGGCUUGGUUAAGAUAUCAGCAUUCUGACUUUCUUAUCCAAUUUGUCUCUCUUAACAUGUGGAAUAUAACAGAAACAAAGACAAUCAAAUGUUUUUAAAUUUUGUAGCCUUGGUUUAUGGCCAUACCAUGCUUCAAAUGGAGUCUUUUGUUGCAAAGCUUUUGUUGGCAAUCUAUUCAGCAGAAAGACUGAUGUAUGUGCAGCCUUAGCCCAGAAUUUCUUUGGCAGCCCUUUGUCAUGCAGCAAACACCU